rnacentral:rRNA from 1 species
GCGAACGGGUGAGUAACACGUGGGCAAUCUGCCCUGCACUCUGGGACAAGCCCUGGAAACGGGGUCUAAUACCGGAUAAUACCUUCCUUCGCAUGGGGGUGGGUUCAAAGCUCCGGCGGUGCAGGAUGAGCCCGCGGCCUAUCAGCUUGUUGGUGAGGUAGUGGCUCACCAAGGCGACGACGGGUAGCCGGCCUGAGAGGGCGACCGGCCACACUGGGACUGAGACACGGCCCAGACUCCUACGGGAGGCAGCAGUGGGGAAUAUUGCACAAUGGGCGAAAGCCUGAUGCAGCGACGCCGCGUGAGGGAUGACGGCCUUCGGGUUGUAAACCUCUUUCAGCAGGGAAGAAGCGCAAGUGACGGUACCUGCAGAAGAAGCGCCGGCUAACUACGUGCCAGCAGCCGCGGUAAUACGUAGGGCGCAAGCGUUGUCCGGAAUUAUUG